GCUGUUUCCUGAGAGGGAAUGCUGCACAGCUGCAUCUCACCCUUUGCCAUUAGCUGAGAAGUGGAAACUUUGUACUUGGGAAUGUGAGCUUCUUUGACAAAGGUGAUAAAAAGGUGAAGUUUAGACUUCAGUGACAGCAAGACUUCUUUGGGGCUGCUUCUGUUCCCAGCUGGGAGAACAAGUUCAAUUGUCUUCUGUGUGAGACACUGACAAGGCUAAUGAUGUUUUCAAACCUCCCAAAGGGACCAUGCUGUGCUGUUGAAAGUGGCAACUGGAGUAGCUUGAUCUUCUGUAUUACAGACUGUGCUAGCUUCUCACUGUAAGAUCACAAAAUCAAUCAAUACAGUGAAUGACUUCUUUGAGAUAAAUCAUGUGUGAAUAUUGCAUUUGGGUGAAGAAUGCACAAUAAAUUACCACUAGUAAAUAGUAGAAUUGCCAUCAAUGGAAGGUGAAAUUAGUUUAAUUUUCUUCAUACCACCCCAAUCUCUUUGGCAGGUACUAGGAUGACAACUAUUUUUUCAGCACUUUCUUUCAGAGGGGAUGAAAUUAUAGGAACUGUGCAUUAAUUAUUCCUGUUUUCCCUGUUCACUUUUAUACUCUCUAACUCUGAAAGGGUACAUAAGCUCUACAGAUAGAAGCUGCUUCUCUCUGCUCUUUACUUAUUUUCACAAUGUACUUAUAUUAUGCUCUGAGUGAGAGAGGGUCCUGUGGAGAAGAAUAGCCUGCAAUUGCAAUGAAAGCUGUUUUUGUUAUUGUCCCUGUUCUGCUGAGGUAGGUAGAUGUUAUCUUGAGUGUUCAGUUUAUUGCAUCUCAUUUUAACACUGUGAAAGGGGAUAGUUUCUAAGAGAGCUGCCAGCCAACCAGAAAAUCUCUUUAUAGAGGAUCCUAGACAAUCCAAUGGAUUUCUAUGAAGUAAAAGUCUGAUUAUUUAUUUCCUACAUGAAUAAAAUCUAAUGCAAGUGUGAAAAUGUUUUAGAUAAUAUCUGUCCUUUUUGAGUGGUUGUAAGGUUUAGCUUUGUAUAAAAAAUGCUUGCACUGCUUUAAAGAAGCUGGUGAUAGCUGCAUUCAGAUGAGGAAAAAUAACUUUUUAUCUUUGUGCAAAUGGUAAAUAUGUUUUUGGCAGCCUCUGUUUCUCAGGUGCUUGAGAGCCCACAGGAAUUUAGCAAGACUUGCAUGUAACAAAUCUAUUUUAACCCAUGACACAACAUUUGCACAAACUUGACUAUUCUACCCACGUUCUUCCUGCUGUAUCUGUGUUUUUUGGUGUGAGCUUCCCAACACAGUGAUUGGGAAUGCUGGCAGGGUUUCCUCUUGUGUGCCUGAAAUGGCUAAGAAAUCUCUUUCCUCUAUUAGAUACAGUUUACUAGUUGAAGAAAAAUGAAGAGGAUGUGUCUUUUAAGCUCAUUCAUCUUCACUAGUCUUGAAAGAUCCUUUUAAACUGUGGUGUUGGUCAUGCUUUUUAGUAACUGGGGCUCUCAACCAAAAGUAUUGUAUUGGUCAGGUACAGCAUUUUUAAGAGGACAACAUCAUAUAGUGCAAGAACAGUGUAGAUUAUUCAUUGUCAAAAUUAUGCAAACAAUGAA